GGGUCGGCUCACCUAUUGGCGUAGGUAGCGGUCUGUAAAACCGUCGCAUCUUUGCGUUGCUGGUUCAAAUCCAGCUCGGCCCACCA
rnacentral:tRNA from 1 species